AAGCUGGAUUCGCUAGUAAUCGCGCAUCAGCCAUGGCGCGGUGAAUACGUUCCCGGGCCUUGUACACACCGCCCGUCAAGCCAUGGGAGCCGGGAGUGCCUGAAGGCCGUGACCGCAAGGAGCGGCCUAAGGUAAAACUGGUGACUGGGGCUAAGUCGUAACAAGGUAAC
rnacentral:rRNA from 1 species